GCGUGAAUGAUGAAGGCCUUAGGGUUGUAAAGUUCUUUUAGUUGGAAAGAUAAUGACGGUACCAACAGAAAAAGCCCCGGCUAACUCCGUGCCAGCAGCCGCGGUAAGACGGAGGGGGCUAGCGUUGUUCGGAAUUACUGGGCGUAAAGGGCGCGUAGGCGGAUUAGUAAGUUGGGAGUGAAAGCCCGGGGCUUAACCUCGGAACUGCUUUCAAAACUGCUAGUCUUGAGUGAAGUAGGGGAUGAUGGAAUUCCUAGUGUAGAGGUGAAAUUCUU
rnacentral:rRNA from 1 species